rnacentral:misc_RNA from 1 species
AAGUAAAUGAUUUGAAUUCUUUUUUGGAAUUCAAAAAUCUAACUUUGUGGUAAUAUUGAAAAAUUGGAUUUGAGUUUAAAGAUGAUAUCUUCUAUUUUUAGAAGGUGUCGACUCAAGCAUUUUUUAUCAACCUCUUUUAUUAUUUGACUGAAAUUAUCAAGUAUUGAUCACAUGAUUAAUAAAAAGUUAUAAA